AAUACAAAUACCCGUUGAUCCUGCGGGAGGUCGCUGCUAUUGGGAUUCGAAUUAGCCAUGCAAGUCUGGGGUAGCAAUACACCGGCAAACUGCUCAGUAACACGUCGGUAAUCUGCCUUUAGGUCAGGGAUAACCUUGGGAAACUGAGACUAAAACCUGAUAUGGAAACUGUUCUGGAAAUGAUUUUUUCCUAAAAAGCAAUGCCUAAAGAUGAGCCGGCGGCGGAUUAGGCUGUUGGCGGGGUAAUGGCCCACCAAACCUAUGAUCCGUACGGGCCGUGAAAGCGGUAGCCCGGAGAAGGUCACUGAGAUACUGGACCUAGCCCUACGGGGUGCAGCAGGCGCGAAAACUUUACAAUGCACGCAAGUGUGAUAAGGGAAUCCCAAGUGCUAAUGUUUUACAUUGGCUUUUGCCAAGAUUAAAAAUCUUGGCGAAUAAGUGGUGGGCAAGACUGGUGCCAGCCGCCGCGGUAACACCAGCGUCCACGAGUGGCGACCGCUUUUAUUGGGCCUAAAGCGUCCGUAGCCGGCUUAGCAAGUUUCUUGUGAAAUUGUUGGGCUUAACCUAACAACGCGCAGGGGAUACUACUAAGCUUGGGACCGGGAGGAGUCAAGAGUAUUGCUGGGGGAGCGGUAAAAUGUUAUAAUCCCUGCAAGACUACCUAUGGCAGAGGCACUUGACCAGAACGGAUCCGACGGUGAGGGACGAAAGCUAGGGGAGCAAAACGGAUUAGAUAUCGAAAAUCUCGUAAAUAAACUCGAUUUUCGGAUUUAGUCUCGCAAUUUGCUGUAAUUUCUACUUUGCGAGAAACUGAUUCGAUAAUCUUAUCGAGAUUGCUCGACUAAAUACCCGAGUAGUCCUAGCUGUAAACGCUGCGAGCUAGGUGUUGCAUAUUCCUCGUGAAUAUGCAGUAUCGAAGCGAAGGUGUUAAGCUCGCCGCCUGGGAAGUACGGUCGCAAGACUGAAACUUAAAGGAAUUGGCGGGGGAGCACCACAAGGGGUGCGGCGUGCGGUUUAAUCUAAUUCAACACAGAGAAUCUCACCAGAAGCGACGGCAGGAUGAUAGUCAGUCUAAAGGGCUUACUUGACAAGCCGAGAGGUAGUGCAUGGCCGUCGUCAGCUCGUGCCGUAAGGUGUCCUCUUAAGUGAGGCAACGAGCGAGACCUGUAUCUACAAUUGCCAUCGAGUUCUUCGGAAUGAUCGGGCACAUUGUAGGGACUGCCUUGGAAACAAGGAGGAAGGUGCAGGCAACGGUAGGUCUGUAUGCUCCGAAUCUUCUGGGCUACACGCGCGCAACAAUGGUAGGAACAAUGGGAUACAACUCCGAAAGGAGAAGUUAAUCCUCGAAAUCCUAUCCUAGUCUAGAUUGAGGGUUGUAACUCACCCUCAUGACAAUGGAAUCCCUAGUAAUUGGACGUUAUCAGCAUCCAGUGAAUAAGUCCCUGCUCCUUGCACACACCGCCCGUCAAACCACUCGAGCCAAGUCUAGAUGAGACAUAGUUUCUUGAUUAUGCCGAAUCUAGGCUUAGCAAGAAGGGUUAAGUCGUCACAAGGUAGCCGUAGGGGAACCUGCGGCUGGAUCACCUCCUU
rnacentral:rRNA from 1 species